rnacentral:tRNA from 1 species
GCCCGGGUGGCGAAACUGGCAGACGCACUAGCUUCAGGAGCUAGCGCCCGCAAGGGCAUGGGAGUUCAAAUCUCCCCCCGGGCA